rnacentral:lncRNA from 1 species
AUAUUAUGGCAUCAAACUUGAACUUUUUUUUUUAGGGGGUAAAAUGAAAAUCCAAAUCAUCAUCAUCUUCACAUAACAUUGCAGCUUGAGGUAUUCUCAUCACUAAAGAAGUGGGUAUAAGGGUCGGGUUGAGGUUGAGGUUGAGGUUGGGGAUAUGGAUACGGGUAUGGAUAUUGAUAUGGGUAUGGUGGCAUGUAAUUCACAGCUGCGGGUGGCCUAGCAUGCAUCAUGGGCUGAAACCUCUCAUUUCCUCCUCCCAUGGCACGUUGUUGGUUCAUCAUUGCUGCCAAAUACUGUUGCUGUUGUUGUUGUUGAUGGUAUGGGUUGCCCGGCAUUACAUCCGGACCCGCUCCCUGAAAGUACCCUCCGCCGCCGCCGCCGCCGUUCAUGGCUGCUGCCGGUAACCCUUGCACUGCUGGGAUGUUACCCAUUUGGGGUAAGCUCCCCAUUUGGCCCAUUGCCAUGUUCAUGGCAGCAGCCCUUUGUUGUUGACUCAUGUUCCCACCAUUAGCGCCGCCACCCAUGGUAGGGAACCCAUCGGAAACACCGUUGGGAGCACCCUUUUUGCCACCGUUCCCACCACCGUUGUUACCACCAUUCUUGUGUAGCUCCUGAGGUAAACCACCGCCAUUUUUACCACCGUUUUUACCACCGCCACCUUGAUAUGGAUUCCCCCCGUUAGGAUUCCCUCCAGCACCACCACCUUUCUUACCUCCAUUCCCAUUUUUACCCUCAUUGUUACCACCACCAACAGGCAUACCACCCCCACCGUUACCACCUUUCUUACCAUUACCCCCACCAUUAGGAGCAGCAUUUUGGGGACCCUUUUGGGGAUUCAUAAGCUGAGGGAGAUUACCAUUCAUCAUGCCAUUCAACAUCACCAUGUUGUUGGGCAUUCCUUUAGGAGGAGCAUUAUUCCCCAUCAUAGCCUUCAUCUUGUUAACUGGAUGACG